CGGAGAACGCUCGUGAAAAGUUUUACCCUGAAGUCAGUGUUGACACGCAGGCGGUUUGCCCUUCUGACUGCAGAUGCAGCCUCACCGCAGUCUGCAUCUCGCCUAAGAAGGCCACAAAGGCAGUCUCUCCAAAUUACAAUAUGUACAACAAGAAGUGAGAUUUCUAAGGCAUGACAUUUCUGCAAAGGGAAAGAAACUCUCAGCUGACAGAGUAUCUGCAAUCCAGAAGAUUCCCAAGCCUCUGACGAAGAAACAAGUUCUCUCUAUCCUAGGUAUGUGUUCGUAUCGCAGAACUUUCAUUCUAAACCAUACCAUUCUAGAAGCACCGCUCAGAGAGAUGGCAUAUGCGACAGGUUGGACAGCUCAUUCUCAGUUAAGUUGGAUCCAGUAGCUGCAGCGUUUCCCCCAUGUGUAUGUGCAGUAGCAGCAGCUGAGAAAGCUGGGGUGGCAUCCAGAGACCUGAGUCGACCUGAAGGAUGUUCCAUUGGAAAACCCAGAUUUUUCCUUUUUGUGGACGGGUCAGCUUCAUGUGACCCAGAGACAGCUAAAAAUCGAGUGGACUAUGCAGUAGUAACCGCACACGAGAUGGUCUGUCAGGAAGUCUCCCCUCAAACCUUUCAGCACAAGCAGCUGAACUGUAUGCCUUCAUAGAGGCAUGAAGACAUGCUGAGGGACAGUCAGUAAAUAUCUACACAGACAGUAGAUAUGCCUUUGAGGUAGUACAUUAUUUGGGGACAAUUUGGAAACACAGGAACUUCCUGAUGAGUUCAGGAACACACAUAGCCCACCAAAACUAGUCUCUGAGCAGCUGGACGCAGUCCUACUCCCAAAAACUAUUGCAGUGUGCAAAUGUGAUGCACACACUAACAAAUUUGACCCUGUUUUCCUAGGAAACGCUUGAGUGGACAGUGCAGCAAAGCAAGCAGCUGCAUCUAUGGUUCCAAAACGCAAAAGAAAAUAAUCACUCCUUAUUU